UGGGGAAUAUUGGACAAUGGGGGGAACCCUGAUCCAGCCAUGCCGCGUGUGUGAAGAAGGUCUUCGGAUUGUAAAGCACUUUAAGUUGGGAGGAAGGGCAGUAAGCGAAUACCUUGCUGUUUUGACGUUACCGACAGAAUAAGCACCGGCUAACUCUGUGCCAGCAGCCGCGGUAAUACAGAGGGUGCAAGCGUUAAUCGGAAUUACUGGGCGUAAAGCGCGCGUAGGUGGUUCGUUAAGUUGAAUGUGAAAGCCCCGGGCUCAACCUGGGAACUGCAUCCAAAACUGGCGAGCUAGAGUAGGGCAGAGGGUGGUAGAAUUCCAGGUGUAGCGGUGAAAUGCGUAGAGAUCUGGAGGAAUACCGAUGGCGAAGGCAGCCAUCUGGCCUAACACUGACGCUGAGGUACGAAAGCAUGGGGAGCAAACAGG
rnacentral:rRNA from 1 species